rnacentral:lncRNA from 10 species
GUGAGGUGACACCCCAUCCUGCUUCAGCUCACCUUCUGUGGGCUGCACCCACUGCCUACCGAGUCCCAGUGAGAUGAGCCGGGUACCUCAGUUGGAAAUGCAGAAAUCACCCGCCUUCUGCGUUGAUUUCCUUGGGAGCUGCAGACCAGAGCUGUUCCUAUUUGGUCAUCUUGACAGCCACCAAAGGGAGGUUAGCCCAAUCUUUUCCACAUAAUGGUAGAAGAGUUCCCAGUAGGCAGAAAAGAUAUGGAAACUGAGCCCUCACACAUGGACUGAAUUCUGACAAGCAGAGGAUAAAGGCAGAACAACAUGACUGAAGGCGAUGAGGAACAGCUGAUCACCUGUGGAAGUCAUUUGUCCUAAAUUGUCAUGGACAGACCAUGUGCCUUACAGCAAGAAAAUUCUGUGAAUAAACAGGAAGCCAGCCAGCCAGGGAAGAUGCUUUUGUGAUAUAUCCCAGCAUGCUGAUGACCCCAAGGAGGACCACUGGAUACCUAGCAAGGAGCUGGCUGCAGCAUACCAUGAAUCCUCACAGCAACUUAAUGAGGAAAAAGAAGAACUGAUUGAAGAGUGGCAACCAGAACCUCUUGUUCCUCCUGUCCCAAAAGACCAUCCUGCUCUCAACUACAACAUCGU